CGGCUGUGCCCGUGGCCUAUUUUUGGCACACGGAGGCCGCCCGCCAAGUCAGGGGCCAUUCCGAGUCCCGCGGACGAAGUUCGCCCACGCCCCACACCAAGGCCAUAGCCCACCCGUUUUUUGGCCAUUUUUCCGCUGGGGGGUCUUGGGACCCCGACCUUCGGGGGCUGAUUUUUGGGCGCGGCUGUACCCGUGGCCCAGUUUUGGCACACGGAGGCCGCCCGCCAAGUCAGGGGCCAUUCCGAGUCCCGCGGAUGAAGUUCGCCCACGCCCCCCACCAAGGCUAUAGCCCACCCGUUUUUUGGCCAUUUUUCCACUGGGGGGUCUUGGGACCCCGACCUUCGGGGGCUGAUUUUUGUACGCGGCUGUGCCCGUGGCCUAUUUUUGGCACACAGAGGCCGCCCGCCAAGUAUGGUGCCAUUCCGAGUCCCGCGGACGAACUUCGCCCACGCCCCCCACCAAGGAUAUAGCCCACCCGUUUUUUGGCCAUUUUUCCGCUGGGGGGUCUUGGGACCCCGACCUUCAGGGGCUGAUUUUUGGGCGCGGCUGUGCCCGUGGCCUAUUUUUGGCACACGGAGGCCGCCCGCCAAGUCAGGGGCCAUUCCGAGUCCCGCGGACGAAGUUCGCCCACGCCCCCCACCAAGGCUAUAGCCAACCCGUUUUUUGGCCAUUUUUCCGCUGGGGGGUCUUGGGACCCCGACCUUCGGGGGCUGAUUUUUGGGCGCGGCUGUGCCCGUGGCCUAUUUUUGGCACACAGAGGCCGCCCGCCAAGUAUGGUGCCAUUCCGAGUCCCGCGGACGAACUUCGCCCACGCCGCCCACCAAGGCUAUAGCCCACCCGUUUUUUGGCCAUUUUUCCGCUGGGGGGUCAUGGGACCCCGACCUUCGGGGGCUGAUUUUUGGGCGCGGCUGUGCCCGUGGCCUAUUUUUGGCACACAGAGGCCGCCCGCCAAGUAUGGUGCCAUUCCGAGUCCCGCGGACGAACUUCGCCCACGCCCCCCACCAAGGCUAUAGCCCACCCGUUUUUUGGCCAUUUUUCCGCUGGGGGGUCUUGGGACCCCGACCUUCGGGGGCUGAUAUUUGGGCGCGGCUGUGCCCGUGGCCCAGUUUUGGCACACGGAGGCCGCCCGCCAAGUCGGGGGCCAUUCCGAGUCCCGCGGAUGAAGUUCGCCCACGCCCCCCACCAAGGCUAUAGCCCACCCGUUUUUUGGCCAUUUUUCCGCUGGGUGGUCUUGGGACCCCGACCUUCGGGGGCUGAUUUUUGGGCGCGGCUGUGCCCGUGGCCUAUUUUUGGCACACAGAGGCCGCCCGCCAAGUAUGGUGCCAUUCCGAGUCCCGCGGACGAACUUCGCCCACGCCGCCCACCAAUUCUAUAGCCCACCCGUUUUUUGGCCAUUUUUCCGCUGGGGGGUCUUGGGACCCCGACCUUCGGGGGCUGAUUUUUGGGCGCGGCUGUGCCCGUGGCCUAUUUUUGGCACACGGAGGCCGCCCGCCAAGUCAGGGGCCAUUCCGAGUCCCGCGGACGAAGUUCGCCCACGCCGUCCACCAAGGCUAUAGCCCACCCGUUUUUUGGCCAUUUUUCCACUGGGGGGUCUUGGGACACCGACUUUCGGGUGCUGAUUUUUGGGCGCGGCUGUGCCCGUGGCCUAUUUUUGGCACACAGAGGCCGCCCACCAAGUAUGGUGCCAUUCCGAGUCCCGCGGACGAACUUCGCCCACGCCCCCCACCAAGGCUAUAGCCCACCCGUUUUUUGGCCAUUUUUCCGCUGGGGGGUCUUGGGACCCCGACCUUCGGGGGCUGAUUUUUGGGCGCGGCUGUGCCCGUGGCCUAUUUUUGGCACACGGAGGCCGCCCGCCAAGUCAGGGGCCAUUCCGAGUCCCGCGGACGAACUUCGCCCACGCCGCCCACCAAGGCUAUAGCCCACCCGUUUUUUGGCCAUUUUUCCGCUGGGGGGUCUUGGGACCCCGACCUUCGGGGGCUGAUUUUUGGGCGCGGCUGUGCCCGUGGCCUAUUUUUGGCACACAGAGGCCGCCCGCCAAGUACGGUGCCAUUCCGAGUCCCGCGGACGAACUUCGCCCACGCCGCCCACCAAGGCUGUAGCCCACCCGUUUUUUGGCCAUUUUUCCGCUGGGGGGUCUUGGGACCCCGACCUUCGGGGGCUGAUUUUUGGGCGCGGCUGUGCCCGUGGCCUAUUUUUGGCACACGGAGGCCGCCCGCCAAGUCAGGGGCCAUUCCGACUCCCGCGGACGAAGUUCGCCCACGCCCCCCACCAAGGCUAUAGCCCACCCGUUUUUGGCCAUUUUUCCGCUGGGGGGUCUUGGGACCCCGACCUUCGGGGGCUGAUUUUUGGGCGCGGCUGUGCCCGUGGCCUAUUUUUAGCACACAGAGGCCGCCCGCCAAGUAUGGUGCCAUUCCGAGUCCCGCGGACGAACUUCGCCCACGCCCCCCACCAAGGCUAUAGCCCACCCGUUUUUUGGCCAUUUCUCCGCUGGUGGGUCUUGGGACCCCGACCUUCGGGGGCUGAUUUUUGGGCGCGGCUGUGCCCGUGGCCUAUUUUUGGCACACGGAGGCCGCCCGCCAAGUCAGGGGCCAUUCCGAGUCCCGCGGACGAAGUUCGCCCACGCCCCCCACCAAGGCUAUAGCCCACCCGUUUUUUGGCCAUUUUUCCACUGGGGGGUCUUGGGACCCCGACCUUCGGGGGCUGAUUUUUGGGCGCGGCUGUGCCCGUGGCCUAUUUUUGGCACACAGAGGCCGCCCGCCAAGUAUGGUGCCAUUCCGAGUCCCGCGGACGAACUUCGCCCACACCCCCAACAAGGCUAUAGCCCACCCGUUUUUUGGCCAUUUUUCCGCUGGUGGGUCUUGGGACCCCGACCUUCGGGGGCUGAUUUUUGGGCGCGGCUGUGCCCGUGCCCUAUUUUUGGCACACGGAGGCCGCCCGCCAAGUCAGGGGCCAUUCCGAGUCCCGCGGACGAAGUUCGCCCACGCCCCCCACCAAGGCUAUAGCCCACCCGUUUUUUGGCCAUUUUUCCACUGGGGGGUCUUGGGACCCCGACCUUCGGGGGCUGAUUUUUGUGCGCGGCUGUGCCCGUGGCCUAUUUUUGGCACACAGAGGCCGCCCGCCAAGUAUGGUGCCAUUCCGAGUCCCGCGGACGAACUUCGCCCACGCCCCCCACCAAGGCUAUAGCCCACCCGUUUUUUGGCCAUUUUUUCGCUGGGGGGUCUUGGGACCCCGACCUUCGGGGGCUGAUUUUUGGGCGCGGCUGUGCCCGUGGCCUAUUUUUGGUACCCGGAGGCCGCCCGCCAAGUCAGGGGCCAUUCCGAGUCCCGCGGACGAAGUUCGCCCACGCCCCCCACCAAGGCUAUAGCCCACCCGUUUUUUGGCCAUUUUUCCGCUGGGGGGUCUUGGGACCUCGACCUUCGGGGGCUGAUUUUUGGGCGCGGCUGUGCCCGUGUCCUAUUUUUGGCACACGGAGGCCGCCCGCCAAGUCAGGUGCCAUUCCGAGUCCCGCGGACGAAGUUUGCCCACGCCCCCCACCAAGGCUAUAGCCCACCCGUUUUUUGGCCAUUUUUCCGCUGGGGGGUCUUGGGACCCCGACCUUCGGGGGCUGAUUUUUGGGCGCGGCUGUGCCCGUGGCCUAUUUUUGGCACACAGAGGCCGCCCGCCAAGUAUGGUGCCAUUCCGAGUCCCGCGGACGAACUUCGCCCACGCCGCCCACCAAGGCUAUAGCCCACCCGUUUUUUGACCAUUUUUCCGCUGGGGGGUCUUGGGACCCCGACCUUCGGGGGCUGAUUUUUGGGCGCGGCUGUGCCCGUGGCCUAUUUUUGGUACCCGGAGGCCGCCCGCCAAGUCAGGGGCCAUUCCGAGUCCCGCGGACGAAGUUCGCCCUCUCCCCCCACCAAGGCUAUAGCCCACCCGUUUUUUGGCCAUUUUUCCGCUGGGGGGUCUUGGGACCUCGACCUUCGGGGGCUGAUUUUUGGGCGCGGCUGUGCCCGUGUCCUAUUUUUGGCACACGGAGGCCGCCCGCCAAGUCAGGGGCCAUUCCGAGUCCCGCGGACGAAGUUCGCCCACGCCCCCCACCAAGGCUAUAGCCCACCCGUUUUUUGGCCAUUUUUCCGCUGGGGGGUCUUGGGACCCCGACCUUCGGGGGCUGAUUUUUGGGCGCGGCUGUGCCCGUGGCCUAUUUUUGGCACACAGAGGCCGCCCGCCAAGUAUGGUGCCAUUCCGAGUCCCGCGGACGAACUUCGCCCACGCCGCCCACCAAGGCUAUAGCCCACCCGUUUUUUGACCAUUUUUCCGCUGGGGGGUCUUGGGACCCCGACCUUCGGGGGCUGAUUUUUGGGCGCGGCUGUGCCCGUGGCCAAUUUUUGGUACCCGGAGGCCGUCCGCCAAGUCAGGGGCCAUUCCGAGUCCCGCGGACGAAGUUCGCCCACGCCCCCCACCAAGGCUAUAGCCCACCCGUUUUUUGGCCAUUUUUCCGCUGGGGGGUCUUGGGACCCCGACCUUUGGGGGCUGAUUUUUGGGCGCGGCUGUGCCCGUGGCCUAUUUUUGGCACACGGAGGCCGCCCGCCAAGUCAGGGGCCAUUCCGAGUCCCGCGGACGAAGUUCGCCCACGCCCCCCACCAAGGCUAUAGCCCACCCGUUUUUUGGCCAUUUUUCCGCUGGGGGGUCUUGGGACCCCGACCUUCGGGGUCUGAUUUUUGGGCGCGGCUGUGCCCGUGGCCUAUUUUUGGCACACGGAGACCACCCGCCAAGUAUGGUGCCAUUCCGAGUCCCGCGGACGAACUUCGCCCACGCCCCCCACCAAGGCUAUAGCCCACCCGUUUUUUGGCCAUUUUUCCGCUGGGGGGUCUUGGGACCCCGACCUUCGGGGGCUGAUUUUUGGGCGCGGCUGUGCCCGUGGCCUAUUUUUGGCACACGGAGGCCGCCCGCCAAGUAUGGUGCCAUUCCGAGUCCCGCGGACGAACUUCGCCCACGCCGCCCACCAAGGCUAUAGCCCACCCGUUUUUUGGCCAUUUUUCCGCUGGGGGGUCUUGGGACCCCGACCUUCGGGGGCUGAUUUUUGGGCGCGGCUGUGCCCGUGGCCUAUUAUUGGCACACGGAGGCCGCCCGCCAAGUCAGGGACCAUUCCGAGUCCCGCGGACGAAGUUCGCCCACGCCCCCCACCAAGGCUAUAGCCCACCCGUUUUUUGGACAUUUUUCCGCUGGGGGGUCUUGGGACCCCGACCUUCGGGGGCUAAUUUUUGGGCGCGGCUGUGCCCGUGGCCUAUUUUUGGCACACAUAGGCCGCCCGCCAAGUAUGGUGCCAUUCCUAGUCCCGCGGACAAACUUCUCCCACACCACCCACCAAGGCUAUAGCCCACCCGUUUUUGGCCAUUUUUCCGCUGGGGGGUCUUGGGAGCCCGACCUUCGGGGGCUGAUUUUUGGGCGCGGCUGUGCCCGUGGCCUAUUUUUGGCACACGGAGGCCGCCCGCCAAGUCAGGGGCCAUUCCGAGUCCCGCGGACGAAGUUCGCCCACGCCCCCCACCAAGGCUAUAGCCCACCCGUUUUUUGGCCAUUUUUCCGCUGGGGGGUCUUGGGACCCCGACCUUCGGGGGCUGAUUUUUGGGCCGCGGCUGUGCCCGUGGCCUAUUUUUGGCACACAGAGGCCGCCCGCCAAGUAUGGUGCCAUUCCGAGUCCCGCGGACGAACUUCGCCCACGCCCCCCACCAAGGCUAUAGCCCACCCGUUUUUUGGCCAUUUUUCCGCUGGGGGGUCUUGGGACCCCGACCUUCGGGGGCUGAUUUUUGGGCGCGGCUGUGCCCGUGGCCUAUUUUUGGCACACAGAGGCCGCCCGCCAAGUAUGGUGCCAUUCCGAGUCCCGCGGACGAACUUCGCCCACGCCCCCCACCAAGGCUAUAGCCCACCCGUUUUUUGGCCAUUUUUCCGCUGGGGGGUCUUGGGACCCCGACCUUCGGGGGCUGAUUUUUGGGCGCGGCUGUGCCCGUGGCCUAUUUUUGGCACACGGAGGCCGCCCGCCAAGUCAGGGGCCAUUCCGAGUCCCGCGGACGAAGUUCGCCCACGCCCCCCACCAAGGCUAUAGCCCACCCGUUUUUUGGCCAUUUUUCCACUGGGGGGUCUUGGGACCCCGACCUUCGGGGGCUGAUUUUUGGGCGCGGCUGUGCCCGUGGCCUAUUUUUGGCACACGGAGGCCGCCCGCCAAGUCAGGGGCCAUUCCAAGUCCCGCGUACGAAGUUCGCCCACGCCUCCCACCAAGGCUAUAGCCCACCCAUUUUUUGGCCAUUUUUCCACUGGGGGGUCUUGGGACCCCGACCUUCGGGGGCUGAUUUUUGUGCGCGGCUGUGCCCGUGGCCUAUUUUUGGCACACAGAGACCGCCCGCCAAGUAUGGUGCCAUUCCGAGUCCCGCGGACGAACUUCGCCCACGCCGCCCACCAAGUCUAUAGCCCACCCGUUUUUUGGCCAUUUUUCCGCUGGGGGGUCUUGGGACCCCGACCUUCGGGGGCUGAUUUUUGGGCGCGGCUGUGCCCGUGGCCUAUUUUUGGCACACAGAGGCCGCCCGCCAAGUAUGGUGCCAUUCCGAGUCCCGCGGACGAACUUCGCCCACGCCCCCCACCAAGGCUAUAGCCCACCCGUUUUUUGGCCAUUUUUCCGCUGGGGGGUCUUGGGACCCCGACCUUCGGGGGCUGAUUUUUGGGCGCGGCAGUGCCCGUGGCCUAUUUUUGGCACACAGAGGCCGCCCGCCAAGUAUGGUGCCAUUCCGAGUCCCGCAGAUGAACUUCGCCCACGCCGCCCACCAAGGCUAUAGCCCACCCGUUUUUUGGCCAUUUUUCCGCUGGGGGGUCUUGGGACCCCGACCUUCGGGGGCUGAUUUUUGGGCGCGGCUGUGCCCGUGGCCUAUUUUUGGCACACGGAGGCCGCCCGCCAAGUCAGGGGCCAUUCCGAGUCCCGCGGACGAAGUUCGCCCACGCCCCCCACCAAGGCUAUAGCCCACCCGUUUUUUGGCCAUUUUUCCGCUGGGGGGUCUUGGGACCCUGACCUUCGGGGGCUGAUUUUUGGGCGCGGCUGUGCCCGUGGCCUAUUUUUGGCACACAGAGGCCGCCCGCCAAGUAUGGUGCCAUUCCGAGUCCCGCGGACGAACUUCGCCCACGCCGCCCACCAAGGCUAUUGCCCACCCGUUUUUUGGCCAUUUUUCCACUGGGGGGUCUUGGGACCCCUACNNNNNNNNNNNNNNNNNNNNNNNNNNNNNNNNNNNNNNNNNNNNNNNNNNNNNNNNNNNNNNNNNNNNNNNNNNNNNNNNNNNNNNNNNNNNNNNNNNNNNNNNNNNNNNNNNNNNNNNNNNNNNNNNNNNNNNNNNNNNNNNNNNNNNNNNNNNNNNNNNNNNNNNNNNNNNNNNNNNNNNNNNNNNNNNNNNNNNNNNNNNNNNNNNNNNNNNNNNNNNNNNNNNNNNNNNNNNNNNNNNNNNNNNNNNNNNNNNNNNNNNNNNNNNNNNNNNNNNNNNNNNNNNNNNNNNNNNNNNNNNNNNNNNNNNNNNNNNNNNNNNNNNNNNNNNNNNNNNNNNNNNNNNNNNNNNNNNNNNNNNNNNNNNNNNNNNNNNNNNNNNNNNNNNNNNNNNNNNNNNNNNNNNNNNNNNNNNNNNNNNNNNNNNNNNNNNNNNNNNNNNNNNNNNNNNNNNNNNNNNNNNNNNNNNNNNNNNNNNNNNNNNNNNNNNNNNNNNNNNNNNNNNNNNNNNNNNNNNNNNNNNNNNNNNNNNNNNNNNNNNNNNNNNNNNNNNNNNNNNNNNNNNNNNNNNNNNNNNNNNNNGGCUGUACCCGUGGCCUAUUUUUGGCACACGGAGGCCGCCCGCCAAGUCAGGGGCCAUUCCGAGUCCCGCGGACGAAGUUCGCCCACGCCCCCCACCAAGGCUAUAGCCAACCCGUUUUUUGGCCAUUUUUCCGCUGGGGGGUCUUGGGACCCCGAGCUUCGGGGGCUGAUUUUUGGGCGCGGCUGUGCCCGUGGCCUAUUUUUGGAAUACAGUGACCGCCCGCCAAGUAUGGUGCCAUUCCGAGUCCCGCGGACGAACUUCGCCCACGCCGCCCCACCAAGGCUAUAGCCCACCCGUUUUUUGGCCAUUUUUCCGCUGGGGGGUCUUGGGACCCCGACCUUCGGGGGCUGUUUUUUGGGCGCGGCUGUGCCCGUGGCCUAUUUUUGGCACACGGAGGCCGCCCGCAACGUCUGGUGCCAUUCCGAGUCCCGCGGACGAACUUCGCCCACGCCCCCGACCAAGGCUAUAGCCCACCCGUUUUUUGGCCAUUUUUCCGCUGGGGGGUCUUGGGACCCCGACCUUCGGGAGCUGUUUUUUGGGCGCGGCUGUGCCCGUGGCCUAUUUUUGGCACACGGAGGCCGCCCGCCACGUCUGGUGCCAUUCCGAGUCCCGCGGACGAACUUCGCCCACGGCCCCCACCAAGGCUAUAGCCCACCCGUUUUUUGGCCAUUUUUCCGCUGGGGGGUCUUGGGACCCCGACCUUCGGGGGCUGUUUUUUGGGCGCGGCUGUGCCCGUGGCCUAUUUUUGGCACACGGAGGCCGCCCGCCAAGUCUGGUGCCAUUCCGAGUCCCGCGGACGAACUUCGCCCACGCCCCCCACCAAGGCUAUAGCCCACCCGUUUUUUGGCCAUUUUUCCGCUGGGGGGUCUUGGGACCCCGACCUUCGGGGGCUGUUUUUUGGGCGCGGCUGUGCCCGUGGCCUAUUUUUGGCACACGGAGGCCGCCCGCCAAGUCUGGUGCCAUUCCGAGUCCCGCGGACGAACUUCGCCCACGCCCCCCACCAAGGCUAUAGCCCACCCGUUUAUUGGCCAUUUUUCCGCUGGGGGGUCUUGGGACCCCGACCUUCGGGGGCUGGUUUUUGGGCGCGGCUGUGCCCGUGGCCUAUUUUUGGCACACGGAGGCCGCCCGCCAAGUCUGGUGCCAUUCCGAGUCCCGCGGACGAACUUCGCCCACGGCCCCCACCAAGGCUAUAGCCCACCCGUUUUUUGGCCAUUUUUCCGCUGGGGGGUCUUGGGACCCCGACCUUCGGGGGCUGUUUUUUGGGCGCGGCUGUGCCCGUGGCCUAUUUUUGGCACACGGAGGCCGCCCGCCAAGUCUGGUGCCAUUCCGAGUCCCGCGGACGAACUUCGCCCACGGCCCCCACCAAGGCUAUAGCCCACCCGUUUUUUGGCCAUUUUUCCGCUGGGGGGUCUUGGGACCCCGACCUUCGGGGGCUGUUUUUUGGGCGCGGCUGUGCCCGUGGCCUAUUUUUGGCACACGGAGGCCGCCCGCCAAGUCUGGUGCCAUUCCGAGUCCCGCGGACGAACUUCGCCCACGCCCCCCACCAAGGCUAUAGCCCACCCGUUUUUUGGCCAUUUUUCCGCUGGGGGGUCUUGGGACCCCGACCUUCGGGGGCUGGUUUUUGGGCGCGUCUGUGCCCGUGGCCUAUUUUUGGCACACGGAGGCCGCCCGCCAAGUCUGGUGCCAUUCCGAGUCCCGCGGACGAACUUCGCCCACGCCCCCCACCAAGGCUAUAGCCCACCCGUUUUUUGGCCAUUUUUCCGCUGGGGGGUCUUGGGACCCCGACCUUCGGGGGCUGUUUUUUGGGCGCGGCUGUGCCCGUGGCCUAUUUUUGGCACACGGAGGCCGCCCGCCAAGUCUGGUGCCAUUCCGAGUCCCGCGGACGAACUUCGCCCACGCCCCCCACCAAGGCUAUAGCCCACCCGUUUUUUGGCCAUUUUUCCGCUGGGGGGUCUUCGGACCCCGACCUUCGGGGGCUGGUUUUUGGGCGCGGCUGUGCCCGUGGCCUAUUUUUGGCACACGGAGGCCGCCCGCCAAGUCUGGUGCCAUUCCGAGUCCCGUGGACGAACUUCGCCCACGGCCCCCACCAAGGCUAUAGCCAACCCGUUUUUUGGCCAUUUUUCCGCUGGGGGGUCUUGGGACCCCGACCUUGGGGGGCUGUUUUUUGGGCGCGGCUGUGCCCGUGGCCUAUUUUUGGCACACGGAGGCCGCCCGCCAAGUCUGGUGCCAUUCCGAGUCCCGCGGACGAACUUCGCCCACGCCCCCCACCAAGGCUAUAGCCCACCCGUUUUUUGGCCAUUUUUCCGCUGGGGGGUCUUGGGACCCCGACCUUCGGGGGCUGUUUUUUGGGCGCGGCUGUGCCCGUGGCCUAUUUUUGGCACACGGAGGCCGCCCACCAAGUCUGGUGCCAUUCCGAGUCCCGCGGACGAACUUCGCCCACGCCCCCCACCAAGGCUAUAGCCCACCUAUUUUUUGGCCAUUUUUCCGCUGGGGGGUCUUGGGACCCCGACCUUCGGGGGCUGUUUUUUGGGCGCGGCAGUGCUCGUGGCCUAUUUUUGGCACACGGAGGCCGCCCUCCAAGUCUGCUGCCAUUCCGAGUCCCGCGGACGAACUUCGCCCACGCCCCCCACCAAGGCUAUAGCCCACCUAUUUUUUGGCCAUUUUUCCGCUGGGGGGUCUUGGGACCCCGAACUUCGAGGGCUGUUUUUUGGGUGCGGCUGUGCCCGUGGCCUAUUUUUGGCACACGGAGGCCGCCCGCCAAGUCUGGUGCCAUUCCGAGUCCCGCGGACGAACUUCGCCCACGCCCCCCACCAAGGCUAUAGCCCACCCGUUUUUUGGCCAUUUUUCCGCUGGGGGGUCUUGGGACCCCGACCUUCGGGGGCUGUUUUUUGGGCGCGGCUGUGCCCGUGGCCUAUUUUUGGCACACGGAGGCCGCCCGCCAAGUCUGGUGCCAUUCCGAGUCCCGCGGACGAACUUCGCCCACGCCCCCCACCAAGGCUAUAGCCCACCCGUUUUUUGGCCAUUUUUCCGCUGGCGGGUCUUGGGACCCCGGCCUUCGGGGGCUGUUUUUUGGGCGCGGCAGUGCCCGUGGCCUAUUUUUGGCACACGGAGGCCGCCCGCCAAGUCUGGUGCCAUUCCGAGUCCCGCGGACGAACUUCGCCCACGGCCCCCACCAAGGCUAUAGGCCACCCGUUUUUUGGCCAAUUUUCCGCUGGGGGGUCUUGGGACCCCGACCUUCGGGGGCUGUUUUUUGGGCGCGGCUGUGCCCGUGGCCUAUUUUUGGCACACGGAGGCCGCCCGCCAAGUCUGGUGCCAUUCCGAGUCCCGCGGACGAACUUCGCCCACGCCCCCCACCAAGGCUAUAGCCCACCCGUUUUUUGGUCAUUUUUCCGCUGGGGGGUCUUGGGACCCCGACCUUCGGGGGCUGUUUUUUGGGCGCGGCUGUGCCCGUGGCCUAUUUUUGGCACACGGAGGCCGCCCGCCAAGUCUGGUGCCAUUCCGAGUCCCGCGGACAAACUUCGCCCACGACCCCCACCAAGGCUAUAGGCCACCCGUUUUUUGGCCAUUUUUCCGCUGGGGGGGUCUUGGGACCCCGACCUUCGGGGGCUGUUUUUUGGACGCGGCUGUGCCCGUGGCCUAUUUUUGGCACACGGAGGCCGCCCGCCAAGUCUGGUGCCAUUCCGAGUCCCGCGGACGAACUUCGCCCACGGCCCCCACCAAGGCUAUAGGCCACCCGUUUUUUGGCCAAUUUUCCGCUGGGGGGUCUUGGGACCCCGACCUUCGGGGGCUGUUUUUUGGGCGCGGCUGUGCCCGUGGCCUAUUUUUGGCACACGGAGGCCGCCCGCCAAGUCUGGUGCCAUUCCGAGUCCCGCGGACGAACUUCGCCCACGCCCCCCACCAAGGCUAUAGCCCACCCGUUUUUUGGUCAUUUUUCCGCUGGGGGGUCUUGGGACCCCGACCUUCGGGGGCUGUUUUUUGGGCGCGGCUGUGCCCGUGGCCUAUUUUUGGCACACGGAGGCCGCCCGCCAAGUCUGGUGCCAUUCCGAGUCCCGCGGACGAACUUCGCCCACGGCCCCCACCAAGGCUAUAGCCCACCCGUUUUUUGGCCAUUUUUCCGCUGGGGGGUCUUGGGACCCCGACCUUCGGGGGCUGUUUUUUGGGCGCGGCUGUGCCCGUGGCCUAUUUUUGGCACACGGAGGCCGCCCGCCAAGUCUGGUGCCAUUCCGAGUCCCGCGGACGAACUUCGCCCACGCCCCCCACCAAGGCUAUAGCCCACCCGUUUUUUGGUCAUUUUUCCGCUGGGGGUCUUGGGACCCCGACCUUCGGGGGCUGUUUUUUGGGCGCGGCUGUGCCCGUGGCCUAUUUUUGGCACACGGAGGCCGCCCGCCAAGUCUGGUGCCAUUCCGAGUCCCGCGGACGAACUUCGCCCACGCCCCCCACCAAGGCUAUAGCCCACCCGUUUUUUGGCCAUUUUUCCGCUGGGGGGUCUUGGGACCCCGACCUUCGGGGGCUGUUUUUUGGGCGCGGCUGUGCCCGUGGCCUAUUUUUGGCACACGGAGGCCGCCCGCCACGUCUGGUGCCAUUCCGAGUCCCGCGGACGAACUUCGCCCACGGCCCCGACCAAGGCUAUAGCCCACCCGUUUUUUGGCCAUUUUUCCGCUGGGGGGUCUUGGGACCCCGACCUUCGGGGGCUGUUUUUUGGGCGCGGCUGUGCCCGUGGCCUAUUUUUGGCACACGGAGGCCGCCCGCCAAGUCUGGUGCCAUUCCGAGUCCCGCGGACGAACUUCGCCCACGGCCCCCACCAAGGCUAUAGCCCACCCGUUUUUUGGCCAUUUUUCCGCUGGGGGGUCUUGGGACCCCGACCUUCGGGGGCUGGUUUUUGGGCGCGGCUGUGCCCGUGGCCUAUUUUUGGCACACGGAGGCUGCCCGCCAAGUCUGGUGCCAUUCCGAGUCCCGCGGACGAACCUCGCCCACGCCCCCCACCAAGGCUAUAGCCCACCCGUUUUUUGGCCAUUUUUCCGCUGGGGGGUCUUGGGACCCCGACCUUCGGGGGCUGAUUUUUGGGCGCGGCUGUGCCCGUGGCCUAUUUUUGGCACACAGAGGCCGCCCGCCAAGUAUGGUGCCAUUCCGAGUCCCGCGGACGAACUUUGCCCACGCCCCCCACCAAGGCUAUAGCCCACCCGUUUUUUGGCCAUUUUUCCGCUGGGGGGUCUUGGGACCCCGACCUUCGGGGGCUGAUUUUUGGGCGCGGCUGUGCCCGUGGCCUAUUUUUGGCACACGGAGGCCGCCCGCCAAGUCAGGGGCCAUUCCGAGUCCCGCGGACGAAGUUCGCCCACGCCCCCCACCAAGGCUAUAGCCCACCCGUUUUUUGGCCAUUUUUCCACUGGGGGGUCUUGGGACCCCGACCUUCGGGGGCUGAUUUUUGUGCGCGGCUGUGCCCGUGGCCUAUUUUUGGCACACAGAGGCCGCCCGCCAAGUAUGGUGCCAUUCCGAGUCCCGCAGACGAACUUCGCCCACGCACCCCACCAAGGCUAUAGCCCACCCGUUUUUUGGCCAUUUUUCCGCUGGGGGGUCUUGGGACCCCGACCUUCGGGGGCUGAUUUUUGGGCGCGGCUGUGCCCGUGGCCUAUUUUUGGCACACAAAGGCCGCCCGCCAACUAUGGUGCCAUUCCGAGUCCCGCGGACGAACUUCGCCCACGCCCCUCACCAAGGCUAUAGCCCACCCGUUUUUUGGCCAUUUUUCCGCUGGGGGGUCUUGGGACCCCGACCUUCGGGGGCUGAUUUUUGGGCGCGGCUGUGCCCUUGGCCUAUUUUUGGCACACGGAGGCCGCCCGCCAAGUCAGGGGCCAUUCCGAGUCCCGCGGACGAAGUUCGCCCACGCCCCCCACCAAGGCUAUAGCCCACCCGUUUUUUGGCCAUUUUUCCACUGGGGCGGCUUGGGACCCCGACCUUCCGGGGCUGAUUAUUGUGCGCGGCUGUACCCGUGGCUAUUUUUGGCACACAGAGGCCGCCCGCCAAGUAUGGUGCCAUUCCGAGUCCCGCGGACGAACUUCGCCCACGCCCCCCAUCAAGGCUAUAGCCCACCCGUUUUUUGGCCAUUUUUCCGCUGGGGGGUCUUGGGACCCCGACCUUCGGGGGCUGAUUUUUGGACGCGGCUGUGCCCGUGGCCUAUUUUUGGCACACAGAGGCCGCCCGCCAAGUAUGGUGCCAUUCUAAGUCCCGCGGACGAACUUCGCCCACGCCGCCCACCAAGGCUAUAGCCCACCCGUUUUGUGGCCAUUUUUCCGCUGGGGGGUCUUGGGACCCCGACCUUCGGGGGCUGAUUUUUGGGCGCGGCUGUGCCCGUGGCCUAUUUUUGGCACACGGAGGCCGCCCGCCAAGUCAGGGGCCAUUCCGAGUCCCGCGGACGAAGUUCGCCCACGCCCCCCACCAAGGCUAUAGCCCACCCGUUUUUUGGCCAUUUUUCCACUGGGGGGUCUUGGGACCCCGACCUUCGGGGGCUGAUUUUUGGGCGCGGCUGUGCCCGUGGCCUAUUUUUGGCACACGGAGGCCGCCCGCCAAGUAUGGUGCCAUUCCGAGUCCCGCGGACGAACUUCGCCCACGCCCCCCACCAAGGCUAUAGCCCACCCGUUUUUUGGCCAUUUUUCCGCUGGGGGGUCUUGGGACCCCGACCUUCGGGGGCUGAUUUUUGGGCGCGGCUGUGCCCGUGGCCUAUUGUUGGCACACAGAGGCGGCCCGCCAAGUAUGGUGCCAUUCCGAGUCCCGCGGACGAAGUUCGCCCACGCCCCCCACCAAGGCUAUAGCCCACCCGUUUUUUGGCCAUUUUUCCGCUGGGGGGUCUUGGGACCCCGACCUUCGGGGGCUGAUUUUUGGGCGCGGCUGUGCCCGUGGCCUAUUUUUGGCACACGGAGGCCACCCGCCAGGUCUGAGGCCAUUCCGAGUCCCGCGGACGAACUUCGCCCACGCCCCCCACCAAGGCUAUAGCCCACCCUUUUUUUGGCCAUUUUUCCGCUGGGGGGUCUGGGGACCCCACCUUCGCGGCUGUGCCCGUGGCCUAUUUUUGGCACACAGAGGCCGCCCGCCAAGUAUGGUGCCAUUCCGAGUCCCGCGGACGAACUUCGCCCACGCCGCCCACCAAGGCUAUAGCCCACCUGUUUUUUGGCCAUUUUUCCGCUGGGGGGUCUUGGGACCCCGACCUUCGGGGGCUGAUUUUUGGGCGCGGCUGUGCCCGUGGCCUAUUUUUGGCACACGGAGGCCGCCCGCCAAGUCAGGGGCCAUUCCGAGUCCCGCGGACGAAGUUCGCCCACGCCCCCCACCAAGGCCAUAGCCCACCCGUUUUUUGGCCAUUUUUCCGCUGGGGGGUCUUGGGACCCCGACCUUCGGGGGCUGAUUUUUGGGCGCGGCUGUGCCCGGGGCCUAUUUUUGGCACACGGAGGCCGCCCGCCAAGUCAGGGGCCAUUCCGAGUCCCGCGGACGAAGUUAGCCCACGCCCCCCACCAAGGCUAUAGCCCACCCGUUUUUUGGCCAUUUUUCCGCUGGGGGGUCUUGGGACCCCGACCUUCGUGGGCUGAUUUUUGGGCGCGGCUGUGCCCGUGGCCUAUUUUUGGCACACAGAGGCCGCCCGCCAAGUAUGGUGCCAUUCCGAGUCCCGCGGACGAACUUCGCCCACGCCGCCCACCAAGGCUAUAGCCCACCCGUUUUUUGGCCAUUUUUCCGCUGGGGGGUCUUGGGACCCCGACCUUCGGGGGCUGAUUUUUGGGCGCGGCUGUGCCCGUGGCCUAUUUUUGGCACACGGAGGCCGCCCGCCAAGUCAGGGGCCAUUCCGAGUCCCGCGGACGAAGUUCGCCCACGCCCCCCACCAAGGCUAUAGCCCACCCGUUUUUUGGCCAUUUUUCCGCUGGGGGGUCUUGGGACCCCGACCUUCGGGGGCUGAGUUUUGGGCGCGGCUGUGCCCGUGGCCUAUUUUUGGCACACAGAGGCCGCCCGCCAAGUAUGGUGCCAUUCCGAGUCCCGCGGACGAUUUUCGCCCACGCCGCCCACCAAGGCUAUAGCCCACCCGUUUUUUGGCCAUUUUUCCACUGGGGGGUCUUGGGACCCCGACCUUCGGGGGCUGAUUUUUGUGCGCGGCUGUGCCCGUGGACUUUUUUUGGCACACAGAGGCCGCCCGCCAAGUAUGGUGCCAUUCCGAGUCCCGCGGAUGAACUUCGCCCACGCCCCUCACCAAGGCUAUAGCCCACCCGUUUUUUGGCCAUUUUUCCGCUGGGGGGUCUUGGGACCCCGACCUUCGGGGGCUGAUUUUUGGGCGCGGCUGUGCCCUUGGCCUAUUUUUGGCACACGGAGGCCGCCCGCCAAGUCAGGGGCCAUUCCGAGUCCCGCGGACGAAGUUCGCCCACGCCCCCCACCAAGGCUAUAGCCCACCCGUUUUUUGGCCAUUUUUCCACUGGGGCGGCUUGGGACCCCGACCUUCCGGGGCUGAUUAUUGUGCGCGGCUGUACCCGUGGCUAUUUUUGGCACACAGAGGCCGCCCGCCAAGUAUGGUGCCAUUCCGAGUCCCGCGGACGAACUUCGCCCACGCCCCCCAUCAAGGCUAUAGCCCACCCGUUUUUUGGCCAUUUUUCCGCUGGGGGGUCUUGGGACCCCGACCUUCGGGGGCUGAUUUUUGGGCGCGGCUGUGCCCGUGGCCUAUUUUUGGCACACGGAGGCCGCCCGCCAAGUAUGGUGCCAUUCCGAGUCCCGCGGACGAACUUCGCCCACGCCCCCCACCAAGGCUAUAGCCCACCCGUUUUUUGGCCAUUUUUCCUGCUGGGGGGUCUUGGGACCCCGACCUUCGGGGGCUGAUUUUUGGGCGCGGCCUGUGCCCGUGGCCUAUUUUUGGCACACNNNNNNNNNNNNNNNNNNNNNNNNNNNNNNNNNNNNNNNNNNNNNNNNNNNNNNNNNNNNNNNNNNNNNNNNNNNNNNNNNNNNNNNNNNNNNNNNNNNNNNNNNNNNNNNNNNNNNNNNNNNNNNNNNNNNNNNNNNNNNNNNNNNNNNNNNNNNNNNNNNNNNNNNNNNNNNNNNNNNNNNNNNNNNNNNNNNNNNNNNNNNNNNNNNNNNNNNNNNNNNNNNNNNNNNNNNNNNNNNNNNNNNNNNNNNNNNNNNNNNNNNNNNNNNNNNNNNNNNNNNNNNNNNNNNNNNNNNNGGGACCCCGACCUUCGGGGGGUGGAUUUUGGGCGCAGGCUGUGCCCGUGGCCUAUUUUUGGCACACGGAGGCCGCCCGCCAAGUCAGGGGCCAUUCCGAGUCCCGCGGACGAAAUUCGCCCACGCCCCCCACCAAGGCUAUAGCCCACCCGUUUGUUGGCCAUUUUUCCGCUGGGGGGUCUUGGGACCCCGACCUUCGGGGGCAGAUUUUUGGGCGCGGCUGUGCCCGUGGCCUAUUUUUGGCACACAGAGGCCGCCCGCCAAGUAUGGUGCCAUUCCGAGUCCCGCGGACGAACUUCGCCCACGCCGCCCACCAAGGCUAUAGCCCACCCGUUUUUUGGCCAUUUUUCCGCUGGGGGGUCUUGGGACCCCGACCUUCGGGGGCUGAUUUUUGGGCGCGGCUGUGCCCGUGGCCUAUUUUUGGCACACGGAGGCCGCCCGCCAAGUCAGGGGCCAUUCCGAGUCCCGCGGACGAAGUUCGCCCACGCCCUCCACCAAGGCUAUAGCCCACCCGUUUUUUGGCCAUUUUUCCGCUAGGGGGUCUUGGGACCCCGACCUUCGGGGGCUGAUUUUUGGGCGCGGCUGUGCCCGUGGUCUAUUUUUGGCACACAGAGGCCGCCCGCCAAGUAUGGUGCCAUUCCGAGUCCUGCGGACGAACUUCGCCCACGCCGCCCACCAAGGCUAAAGCCCACCCGUUUUUUGGCCAUUUUUCCACUGGGGGGUCUUGGGACCCCGACCUUCGGGGGCUGAUUUUUGGGCGCGGCUGUGCCCGUGGCCUAUUUUUGGCACACGGAGGCCGCCCGCCAAGUCAGGGGCCAUUCCGAGUCCCGCGGACGAAGUUCGCCCACGCCCCCCACCAAGGCUAUAGCCCACCCGUUUUUGGCCAUUUU
rnacentral:lncRNA from 1 species